CCUACGGGUGGCAGCAGUGGGGAAUAUUGGGCAAUGGAGGCAACUCUGACCCAGCAACGCCGCGUGAAUGAUGAAGGUCUUCGGAUUGUAAAGUUCUGUGAUGGGGGAUGAACACAAUGACGGUACCCCAAUAGCAAGCCACGGCUAACUACGUGCCAGCAGCCGCGGUAAUACGUAGGGGGCAAGCGUUAUCCGGAAUGACUGGGCGUAAAGGGUGAGUAGGUGGUUUAGUAAGUUGGCGGUGUAAUUCCGGGGCUCAACCUCGGCGCUACAGCCAAAACUAUUAGACUAGAGUGCAGGAGGGGUAAGUGGAAUUCGUGGUGUAGCGGUGAAAUGCGUAGAUAUUAGGAGGAACACCAGUGGCGAAGGCGGCUUACUGGACUGUAACUGACGUUGAGGCUCGAAAGCGUGGGGAGCAAACAGGAUUAGAUACCCGGGUAGUC
rnacentral:rRNA from 1 species